ensembl:lncRNA
AUUACUUUGUGUUGUUAUUAGCUGAGAGUUUUGGUUAUGUAUCAUGAGACAAAGCUUGUGACUCACACCAAAUGUACAGUAUGGGAGUGGGCAACCCUACAGAGGCCAGUGUUUGUUGGUGAGUGAAGACAUUUGGUAACACAGUGAAGUAUCAGGAGCUGAAACCUGUCCAUAUUCUCAAGAAUGCAUAGGAGUUGCAAAACAGUAUAUUCACUGAAAUUAGGCACUGGGAGAACAAGUCAUCCUCUUCUUCAUCUUCACUGACUGUUUUGAUUGAAGUGUGCAUUUUGAACGCGGGUGAAGUGAUUCAGUACAAUAAACUGCAGGCCGACCCAAAGCAGGGGAAAUCCCUGGAUAUUGAUUAUAUGUGUGUGUUUGUGUGUGUCAGUGCUGAAGAAGGUAAAGCAUUGUCUGGUGGAGAACAUGAGUUCAGGAACUGCAGAUGUUCAG